UACAGAGGUCUCAAGCGUUGUUCGGAUUCAUUGGGCGUAAAGGGUGCGUAGGCGGCGCGGUAAGUCGGGUGUGAAAUCUCGGAGCUUAACUCCGAAACUGCAUUCGAUACUGCCGUGCUUGAGGACUGGAGAGGAGACUGGAAUUUACGGUGUAGCGGUGAAAUGCGUAGAUAUCGUAAGGAAGACCAGUGGCGAAGGCGGGUCUCUGGACAGUUCCUGACACUGAGGCACGAAGGCCAGGGGGAGCAAAACGGG
rnacentral:rRNA from 1 species